rnacentral:tRNA from 1 species
GCCGGUGUAGCUCAGUGGUAGAGCAGCGCUUUUGUAAAGCGAAGGUCGUGGGUUCGAAUCCCACCUCCGGCU